ACCUCAAGUGGUUGGCAGGACUAUCCGUGCACAGGGAAUAUGUGGUUCAUAUGCAAUUCAAAAUGACAAACACUAUGUGCAUUACUUUGAUAUAAAUAUGGGCCUUCCUUUGUGAAAUGGGGGUUUAAUGCAUGUGCGUUUCCGCUUUUAUAAUAUUUCCGUUAAAAUAAAGUCUCUUCUUAGCAAAAAUCCAGUUCAUGCGGAAAGUGUUGUCCCUGCACAUGCAUUAAACCCUUUUUUCACAGAACAUGGCCCAUAGAAUGUAUUUUACGUGAACAUGUUUGAAAACUGCAUAUUUUUGUUUUGCGCAUGGAGUAGGUAACGUAUUCGGAAGUCAUGAGCAAGGAACAGUUAUAUGUAAGGACAAUAAUUAUAAAAGGAAAAUACAGUGAAAUUGUAGUGAUAAAACGCUUAAACGCUUGCAUAUAAAUUGAAAAUUACCAAAAAUUUAAGUAACUUGUGACCAUCGUUGUAAGCAAGUGUAUGCUUUUCAAUCGUUCUCUUGAUGCAGUGGAAGUUAUGAGCAAAAAACAGCAAAUGCGCCAAUCAUAAGUCCAUGUUGUCAUUUUUCUAUGCAUAAAAACAUGAAUAAUGAAACCAACUUUUUAUAAGAA